rnacentral:rRNA from 1 species
GGUUAUUCCGUUAACGAACGAGACCUUAACCUGCUAACUAGUCUGCUUGUGAAUAACAGGUUGUACUUCUUAGAGGGACUAUUGUGCAAUAAGCCAAUGGAAGUUUAAGGCAAUAACAGGUCUGUGAUGCCCCUAGACGUGCUCGGCCGCACGCGCGUUACAAUGACUGGCGCAAAAAGUAUUUCCUGUCCUGGGAAGGUACGGGUAAUCUUAUUAAUACCAGUCGUGUUAGGGAUAGUUCUUUGGAAUUGUGGAUCUUGAACGAGGAAUUUCUAGUAAGUGCAAGUCAUCAGCUUGCGUUGAUUAUGUCCCUGCCGUUUGUACACACCGCCCGUCGCUUGUAGUAACGAAUGGUCUGGUGAACCUUCUGGACUGCGACAGCAAUGUUGCGGAAAAAUAAGUAAACCCUACCAUUUGGAACAACAAGAAGUCGUAACAAGGUAUCUGUAGGUGAACCUGCAGAUGGAUCAUUA